rnacentral:lncRNA from 1 species
CCUCUUCCUCUAAUUCAUCUGCUUCUUCAGCCAUGAAUGCUUCACCCAUUCUUACAUCUCUUGGUCAAGUUCACCACUUCUUAUCUUUAAAACUCACAUCGAUCCAUUAUCUAUUACAGAAAAUACGGUUUGUUCCACUUUUACGUAGCUUUGAUCUACUAGGGUUGGUUGAUGGUGUUGAUGUUUGCCCCUUCUCUACUACUACCUCGGAUGAACCAAAUCCACUUCAUGCUACAUGGAUAUGUAAGGAUCAAUAUCUCAUGAGUUGGAUCAUUAUCUCUCUCUCUCUGA